rnacentral:lncRNA from 1 species
UCAAAGCUAUUGGUAGCAUCGGGGAUGGUUUGAUGCCAAUUCUCCAUAAAUCUGCACCAGAGGUUGCACUAUUUUCUGCUCGAGGGCCUAACAUAAGAGAUUUCAGCUUUCAAGAUGCAGAUCUUCUCAAGCCUGACAUUUUGGCACCUGGUUCUCUAAUUUGGGCUGCUUGGUCUCCAAAUGGAACAGAUGAGCCUAAUUUCGUUGGUAAAGAUGUGCUUGGUUUCUAUAUUUGUUUCUCUUGUAUUCUCAACUAGUGAAAAUUUUCGGACCUAAUCUUCCUUGUUUUGAGUAGGAGAAGGAUUUGCUUUGAUAUCUGGAACCAGUAUGGCUGCACCACAUAUAGCAGGGAUAGCUGCUCUUUUGAAGCAGAAACACCCUCAAUGGAGCCCCGCUGCUAUAAAAUCAGCCUUGAUGACUACAUCAACAAAGCUCGACCGAGCAGGAAGGCCUCUUCAAGCACAACAGUAUUCUGAAACAGAGGCCAUGAAACUUGUCCCUGCCACUCCUUUUGAUUAUGGGAGUGGUCAUGUUAAUCCGAGAGCUGCUUUGGAUCCCGGACUCAUCUUUGAUGCAGGUAUUCUUGCUUUUUGCUUUGGAUCCUGGCCUCUUUAUUUGUAGCUUUGCGAAAUCGUUCGGAGUCUUUAUUUGCAUUCCCCUUGCCUUUUUGUAGGUUAUGAGGAUUAUGUUGGAUUCUUGUGCACCACACCUGGUAUUGACAUUCACGAGAUAAAGAAGUACACAAACUCCCCCUGCAAUAGCACCAUUGGCCGCCCUUCGAAUCUCAACACCCCAUCAAUCACAAUCUCUCAUCUUGUCGGGACUCAAACCGUCACUCGCACCGUUACAAACGUUGCU